CUUAACUGAGCCAUCUCCUCAGCCCCUGUUUCUUUUCUUUUUAAGGAGAAACUAAAUUAUUAAUCUUUACUUCUUAUUUUCAGAGUAAUUUAGCUGAGUGUGGUGUUGCAUGCCUGCAACUCCAACAAGAAUAUGGAUUGGGAGACUGGUCAUUCCCGAGGCCCAGAGUGGCCAAGUUUGUUGUCCUGCUGCCUCGGGGACUCCAUUUACAAAGCAUUCCUUUGUGUUUGCUGUAAUGAUGGCCUUUCUACCAGUAAACUCCCUGGGGACAUACUAAAUUGGAUUUACUUUACAAAAGGAUGGGGGUGGGGUAAGAGCAGAUUUGGAGUCCUAAAUAGAAAGCUCUGGGCUGAUUAAGUCUCCUGUGGAGGAUCUGGUGGGUGGCCUGUGAGGAGGAACCCCUUCUGCUGCACUUCACUUUCUCAGAUUCUGCGCUUCAGUCUCCACUGACCCCAGCUACUAAAUGAGUCUGUUUCUGUGAGACAGGCAACCCGAAGCAAAUUAACAGACCUGGUAAACAGCCUUGGAAAGCAGGACAUGGUGAUGCAGCUUUGGAACCCCAAAACUCAAGUUCAGCUUGAGAUAUACAGCAGGACCCUGUCUUCAACCCCCGCCCCCAAACCAAACCAAACAAAACUCACUCAAUUAAGAGAUCAUGCUGUAUAAAUCCAGAGUCCUGGAUUCUGUGUCUUGGGCUAGAAAGCCAGGAAUUCAGCAUGCAGCACUCUGGAGUUAGACUGCCUGGUUAUCCCUCCUUGUGUGAUAUGCUGAACCGUAGUUUCCUUAAUUGUAAAAUGAAGAUAACGCCUCUCAACACUCUAGAACCCGUGUGAGAAAUUAGUGGAUGUGGCAGAGCCAGGAUAGUCUAGCAUGCAGACACUCACCAGCCAUGCAUGUUAGCCAUCAUUAGUAUUGUUGCUAUUAGAAAUAUAGAAGCCUACAGAGAGGGAUCUUCGGGUCUGAGAGGCUCAAGCUCAGGAACCAGACUACUACUAAUUCUACUGCCUACCAUGACUGAAGUCACACCAAUCUCUUCUGCCUCUUUUUUCUUAACUGUGAAAUAGGGAUUCAUAGAUAAUCACAGUAUUUUACGACAUUAAACAAGCUAGUUCAAGGAAGUAGAUUGCAACAGCAUUUUACCAAUGAUAAGGAUCUGAUAAAUGUUAUCUCUUUUAAACAGGAUUGUGAUGCAAUCCUUCCAAUGUUCAGAUGGCAGUGUGGAACAGGAUUGCUCCACGCAAGCUGGAGCAUGAAGCCUGGAAUGGAAGAGCAGGUUCAUGUGAAGCUCACUGGGGAGCAGGUUCCAGGGCUCUACCUUGUUAUCAGGAAGUGAGCUGUGGGGUCUGGCAAUAGCACACCAUUGUGGAAGCCCACGAUGUAGAACCAUUGUGGAACAGCAUAGCUCUGCAGCCACUUCCUUGCAGGGAGAGUUGACCUGCACAGUGGAUCCUGGUGGCCCCUCAGAACAGGGUCCUUCCUUAAUUAACUGGUGACCUUGAGCCAAGUCCGGUGUUUCUUAGAAGUCAACUGAGGAGUCAGGAAAUGGCGGUGGUUUUUAUCGUCAUGUUUGAGGAAGGGUCUCGCGCCGAACUAGAACUCGCCUCAGCCUCAGCCUCCCAAGUGGUUGAAUUACGGGUUCCCGGACUGGCUACCACUGAACUUCAGUGUGAUUCAGUGUCCCAAGAAGCAUCUUCCUCCUCUCAUGAGGCUCCUUGCCUUGGCUGCAUAGGGCUGGGACCCGCCCUGUCUUUUCAAAACAGAGGGUUUGGAAGAGCAUUCCCAGCAACUGUGCUGUUAUUACACCAUUGGUCUGGGUCCUCUGCUGCCGUGCCUUCAGGCCGACUGGGUCCUGCCACAGCUGCAGUUGGCGACUCCUGACUCAGCCUUCCUCUUCCCACAAUUCUUUUCUCUGCUUGUCCUGCCUAUACUUCCUGCCUGGCUACUGGUCAAUCAGCACUUAUUUAUUAACCAAUCAGAGCAACACAUUCAUGGCAUACAGAGCGAUGUCCACAGCAAGUCACAUGCUCCAGAAGAUGUUCAUAUCUGGUUCUAAGAGCUGAAGCAAUGGAUGUCUCUGUAUCUGAUGGUUCUGACAGGCUGAGUGAACACUGAGAUGAGGGAAGAACAUCACACAAUUCUCAGCCUGACUUCUGCCAUACUUUAGGGUCUACUGUUGUUCUGUGCCUUUGAGCAGGCUGCCCCCUUGGCCUCUAUUUCCUGACACUUGUGAUUUUUCCCCUCUAACCAAAAAUCCCACUCUAUAAUACAUACUCCCUGACAAAUGCACUCUUCCCUCAGGACCCAGUUCACCCAGGUGUGGUAGCCUCUGUCUGCAAUCUAUAACAGC